GCUAGGAUAAAACCAGGAAGCUGGGGGCAGAUUGGGGCUAUAGUGAGAAAGCCUGUAGCUGCUCUCUGGACAGGAGCAGAGGAAAGAAGAUAAACUAGGUAGAGGGGAUGUUGGAAAAGGCAGCGAGGUUUAAAAGGGUGCAGACAUUGUUUGCUGAAUAGAGGGUCCCUGAGCUGGAGCUGAGGGUGGGCCCAAUCUCCCCUACCAGCCACAGUUUGGGCAGUGAAGGUGAAACUGCCAGCUUGGAUGAAGAGACUUUGAUAUCCUGAAAGAGGAAAACAUGCAGUGACCUGGCUGGAAGGCUGAGCCAUGGUGAUAGAGCAGCCUGGGUUGCAAAGAGUGAGAGGCAGGGCAUGCAGAGAGCGGCAGAAGGCGGUGCUGGACCUGGGAAGAGUUAGUCCCCAGAGUGGCCAGGAGGAGGCGCCCUUGCGGCGCAGAGGGCCAGCUCCAAACCCCACUGAAGUCAAUGGGAAAGGCUCACUGUGGUGUCAGGGAUUCCCAAGCUCUGCCGGCUUCAGUGAAGCCGUUGCAGAGAGCGGUAGUACACUCCAGUAAAGUCUGGCUGGGAGCAGUUCAAAAGCACAAAGCACCUGGUUCUCAUGAAUGUUUUAUCAACGGAGCCGCGUCACUGGCUGGCGGUCCCAGGCCUCGGCUUUUGGGGCUGUUUUACUAUCUGCCACGGGACCCGGCCCAGCUGUCUGCUCAUUCAGCGGUGCCUCUGGUGGAUCGCGGCCCUGCCUCCCCCUUCACCUGCUGUUGCUCUCCAGGGGUCUGCCCAUCAUCCUGUCUGCUUCUCCCUCUGCACUCACCCCAGGACCACGGGUUGCUUCAUCUGCUCCCCUAGUCUUUGUGCUGCCUUUCUACCCUUGAGCCUUGCCCCAGCCUGGUGGAUGUUCCUGGUGGAAAAUCAGCAGAGGCUGAUUUUCAAAUUGCAGCCUUCUCCCAGCCCUAUGGAGAACUCCAGUCUCCCCCUGCCACUCAACCUCAUCACCUCCGGCUCUUCCCUUUCCUUCUCUCCCCUCCCCAUCCAGACUCCCACCAAUCACUUCUCCCCUUGCCUCCACUGCCAAACCUCUGCUUCACACCAGGUUCCCUUUGGUGUCCCAUUCACGGCACCCCCUCCUCUCCAGCCUCCCUAGCUCUGUGAUCUGCCCAGCUAAAAGAAUCUCCCUCUCCCACCUCUGUGAGCUGCAUUAGACCCAUGGGGAUGUCCUUUGGCCUGUGCUGGCAUAGAACAGCCGUGUCCGGUACCAUAUGCUUAGCAAGCUGGAGAGUGUGGUGUAGUGGGAGGCUGGGAGAGUGGAGGAGGACAAGGAUGUAGCAGGAAGGGGGUCUGUUGCCAGCUGUUCUCUCUCUGAGGUCCCUGCAGGGUGCGAGCAUGCAGGUAUGUGCCUGAGCCAGACAGCAGGCCAGAUCCUCAGCUGGUGGCGGUGGAGCAAGGCUGACUUGCAAUCUAAACCGUGGCGCAAAAGGGUUAAGAAGCGAGCAGGGGCCAUCUCCUGUUCUGAGUCCCAACCCCCCUGCAGUCCUAUUCCCUUCAGUGUGAUUUCACAGGCCCCCUGAGGUUUUUCUCAGUUCGCCACCAUUCACCCUCCUGCCAUAUUUGCCCCGUGCCUUGUAAUCCAUCACAUUCCCUCCCUCCCACGUGGGCUCCUCCCCUCCCUCCAUCCGCAGCACCGCAGUGCGAGAUUUCCCUGGCUGUGGGCUGAUCACAGGGCAGUUUGGCUUCUGUUCCCUGACAGUGAAUGACAGAGUGAGCAAGCUGCCAGCCUGUGUCUGUUGCCUUAUACAUCAGCGCGCUGACAGUGCAAGUGAUCUAGGAUGCUGGUGAUAACCCCAGUAAUGGCUCAUGGCAGAAGAGGCAGGGAGCUAAGAUUUUAUAACUGUGCUAAUUGCAGGUGCCAUCUAGGAUUCUCACCGCAGGGUGUUAAUUAUAUCUUGGGACAUUUAGCAGCACUCCCAGGGCCCUGGUACAGGAGUUAAGGGACCAGUGGCUGACUCUGCUGCUGACUCUGUGAAGACCUCUCCCCCUCUCUGUGACUCAGUUUCCCCAUCAGCAAAAAGGGGAUAAUGACACUUAAAGAGGGAGUUAAGUAUCUUUAGAUCCUUUGAAAAAAUUAACUAGAAUUGCUUGGCUGCAUGCAUGGCCACUAGACAGUCCACAGCACUUUUAGUGAGGGUGUCAGGGGAUGCAAUUCUUCACUCAUUGAUGCUGGUGUAAAUCAGGAGUAACUCCUCUGAGGUCAAUGAAAUUGCAUUGGUGUAAAAGUGUUGUAAGUUUGAGGACAAUUAGGCCUGAGAUGGUAAUCCCACUGUCCAGGUACAUUCCAUUUUGCAUUGCUAAAUUUCCCCUGCCAGUUCCAAUGGGGGCCUGUAUUCUUUCUUGCUUCCUAGCCCCAUAUUGCUGUGUGCAGUUAAUCAGCUGCUGCAUUCCACCCCAGACAUGGCUGCAUUUAACUGGUGGGCCAGGGAUCCCUGCAUUCCAUCACAGUCUGGGUUAACGUUUCAGUAAUAGGUCAGGGAUUCCUACAGAACCAGCUGCUGUACCCCACCCCAGAGGGGGCUGUAUUUGAUGGGUGGGACAGGGGUUCCUGCAGAACCAGCUGCUGCACUCCACACCAGAAGCAGCCACAAGUGGAGUGUGAUUGCUGUGUCUCCAGCCUCCUGGCCCUUCCCAGUGAUGCAUUUGGGAUGCGGUGCCCGUCACUUCUCUCGCAGGGGUAAUUUCUCUCCCUGCCUGGCUGGACCAUGUAGAUGUUCAUCACCCUCUCCAGCUGCCC